GAACGCUGAAAGUGGCAGUUCAUUGACCGGAAUUCACGUGACAUUGAUCGGAAAGAAGGGCCAGAGAGCACCCAUCAGGCCCUGGGCCGUGCUCGCCGUCUCACGUGGACCGCCCCGCUUGAGCCUCCCAACACUAGGACAACUGCAGGCACCAAGAGGAAUCCACCCUGGGGAGGGGGUGACAGCUAAAUCCUGCUUCCAGAGGCCAGGAAGGUGGAAAGCCCAGCGGUACCACCCAGAGCCGGGAUCAGCGGUGUCAGCCCAGAGGUGCCUCCAACUGGACCAGGUUGGCUGUGGCCUUUGGGACGUUGCUCCUGGUUGGUUCUCUGGUCCUCCGGGAAUUGUGGUAAGCUACAGGGCGAUUCUGAAGAAAUUAUUUUUCAGCCUAAAGUAUCUAGGGUUGGUUUCUCUUCCUUUCAGUGAGGAACUCUGAUUUAGAGAUAAAACCGCAACAUCAGGGGGUUCACCACAUGGCCACCAAGAGGCCCAAACCACGAGGGGUCUCACGGGAAGGUGAGACCAGGCAGAAAGAAGCAGUGUAGCUUUUCAUUUCUAUACUUUUGGGACUUUUACAUGACAAGCAUUCAUUAUUUUUAAAGUUAAAAAAAAAUCUGUCAAUACAGAUAAAAAGAUAAAAAGAAGGAAAGCAAAGAAGUGGGGAGUGGUAUGGGGUCGCCACAGGACAGCCAGGGCCCCUAAGCCAGGGAGAUAGAGGGAAAGGGGGGAAAAACCAGGAGCACUCUGAGAAGACAAGGCUUCUGCUCCCGAGAGAAUGGGAAUCCAUCGUGGCAAGUGGAAGGGGUUGGGGAGGAAGAGGGAAGGGAGAACUUUCUGACCCUGACUUAGGGCCACGUGGGCAGGAGGGGACGGGGAGGGGAGAGCGGAGAGUGGGGAACCAGUCCUGUGAGGGGUAAGGGAGAACGAAGGGGUCCUCAGGAUAUUUUCAUCCGAGCAGGUGGUCAAGUUAAGAGGCCCACAAAGCUCCUAGGGGAGGCGCCUGAGGCCAACUGAAUGUCUGUGGUUGGGUUAAAGGUAAAGUCAGGGCAAUCUUUUUUUUUUUUAAUUGUAUUAUUAUUUAUUUUUGGGGGGGUUAUUUAUAUUUAUUUUUGGAGGCGGUACUAAGGAAUGAGCCCAGGACCUUGUGCAUGCUAAGCCUGCGCUCCACCACUCGAGCUACACCCUGCCCCUCUCCCCGGGGCAAUCCUGAAGGAAGGUGGCUGGCAGGAGGGAGAGAAGGGGUCCUCCUGGGCUGAUGGAUGGAGGAUGUUGGGGACGGCUGAGCACAAGCAGAGCCCUGCUUCCUUGGCCUGCUGCCCGCCCAGGCCCACUGACUCAGCUCAGUCCGGUGGCGGCUGUGGCAGGUGAUGGAGGGCAGUCGGAUGACACACAGACCCUCCUAAGAGGGUCUCUGCUGCACCACCGUUUAUUGCUGCAGCUUCCGAGCUUUGUGACAGUCCCUCCCUCCAUCUCCCCAAACACAGGUGCAAAGCUUGGUGUGUGGUUUGUGUUUUUCUGGAGGGCAGCACACCAGCCUUCUGCAGAUUCUCCAAGGUUGAGGGUUGGGGCAGAAAGUUGAGUUGGCUUUCUCUGGCCUCCAGGGUGAAGUGCACGAGCUCACACCACCCUGCUUGCCUCUGCCUCUGCCCCCGCCGCCCGGUGCCGUGCCUCGGUCCCACACACCCUGCCCCUCCCUCUUCUGGAACUUGUGCCCGUGAUAGAUUUGACCAUGAUGCAGCUCUGCCUGGAACCCUUGACUGACCCCCCUUGAGUGGAGACAAUCGCUUCUUGUUGCCGAGCAAGUCAGUCCUACCUACCUCUCCAGCCCCAGCCCCUGCCUUUGCCCACAGACUCACUCACACCCACCUUUUUGCCUGUGGUUCCACGGUGAUGGGGCCCCAGGUGGCCCAUUCUGCACCCUUUGUUGACUUAAGGAAAUUUCAGUUGGAAGAAGUUGAGAUUUUUACUGUCCUUACAGAAUAUGAAAAAGAGGGAGGGCUUUCAAGGAUAGAAGAACAAAGCAAAAUAAAUAAAUAAAUAAAUAAAUGUUAAAAUAAAAGGAAGAAAAAAGGACUCUCCUGCAUAGAUAUUAUACUUCAAAAAAAAUUUUUUUUACCAUCCCCCUCAAAAGCCGCUCUGGUCAUCUGCAACUGGCAGUCUUCACAGAUGGUGCAAGCACCCUGUCCUCCCCUGGACCCCAGGCCUCUUCCUCCACCUCAGCUCCUUAUUAUGCAGAUCACCAGAGUGCCUUGAGCUGCCUGUGAACUUGAUGCAUUAGCACACUGCCCAGAUUCUACCCUAAGGACAGCCCAGCAGGUGUCCCAGUAGCGGGAAGCCUGGGUGAGGUGGGGGCAGGGCGGCUGCAAACACUUCUAGUGGUACCUGACUUCUUUCAUCCCUCUCUAGUCUCAGACAGGCUCCUCCUUACCUGGGAGCUGCACACUUGCCUUUCUUCUGCUAGAAACUCCGGUCUUUUGCCUCCCUCUUCCUUCAGGCCAGUUUAAGUGACUCUCCGCAGGGGUCCCAGACCAGGGCAGUCAGUCCCCCCUACAUAAUUAAAUUUACUUAUAUUUAUAUUUUAUUAUCAUUAUACUUAAUUAUAUAUUUUAACGAAUUUUAUUUAUUAUUUGUUUUUAAAUUAUUAUAUUUAAAUACAAUUUUAUAAUAUAUAAUUAUAUUCAAUUAUCUAAUAAUUAAAUUUAGUUGUGGCUCCCACCAUAAUUAAAUCUAUGGGUGUAUUUCAGGGCUAGACUGUAGACUCUCACUCCACUGCAAGAGCUCUAAGUGGGUAGCAACUGUGUCCGUCCAGUUCAUUGCCAAAUCCCAGGUGCCCGGCCUGCAGCUUGGCGCAUAACAGGCUCUCAAAAAAUAUUUGUUGUAGCUGCACAUUCAAAUCUUACUCCUCUCCCCCACCUGCUCAGAGCCCCUGCUUCCCUGCAAACAGCCUUGGUCUCACUCUGGAAGGCCCAGGGCUUGUUCCUUUCCUGUCAGUGGACACCAAUCACCAGGCCCUGGCAGAGCACAAACGUCCUGAGGCCCUUUCCCUGUUUAUCAGCUUCUCUAAAUGCAAAUGGUUACCAAGGACCUUUGACCUCGCUUUCAACCACCGGGGUCCUUUCCUCUAUUUACCUUGAAAAGUGGAGGAGGGGCAUCUAUCCUCCCCCUACUCUUCCUACUCUCCAUCCCCCAUCCCCCCAUCCUGCCCCGCUCCCCCUCCCUCUCCAGAUGUAACAAGGCCCUGCUUAGGCUUCCGUCUUCAGCUUAGAGCCUGAAAGCCAGGCAUCUCCUGUUCCCGUUGCUUCCUUGUUCCUUUCUCCCAGGACUGGUGAGCAGAAGUAUGGAAAACCAGCCUGGCCUCCUGCCUGCCCCUUAGGAAAGACCGGGCAGUGCCGCUUCGCGGAUGUCCUUCGCGGAUUCCAUCCACACAUCCUUCCUCGGUGGGUGUGGCGGGCCCUAUCACCCUCCCCAGCUUUACCAACGGAAAAGCUGAGACCAGAACGGAGAUGGAUGCUGGGCCUUGGGCCAAAGUCAUCUAAUUACGUACACAGGACCAAAGCCCUCAGUGCCCCUCACCGCAUCCCUGCCGCUAUAGGGACCUGGGCAGUUGUUCCCCGGGAAAGCGCGACUCCUGGUGGAGAAGAGAAGCAUGGCGGCCUGUCCCUCAUCCCAAGACUGGCUGAGAGAAAUGGGCGUGGUCUGCAGGACCACCGACACACGGCUUUAUCCAGUUACUGAUGCAAGGCCCUUCCUUGGAAAAAUCAGGUAUCUCUGUAUGUGCAGGUACUUCCAUGCAUAGAAUAUGUACGUUUCUGAGCCACUCCCAAGGCCCUGAGGGGAAAGAACCCAACUUUGGUAGCACCUUCCCCUCCGCCAUAUUCCCUAUUAAGGACAUAUUAACACUGCCCUGUAACUUUAACUGCACCCUGCUGGCUGGAUCUGUAACCCAGGAGGACCCUAUGGGGCCUUCUCAGGACAGACCCCUCCCCCAUAUCAUCUGUUGCAGCUCCUCUCUGAAGUACCCAGAUAAUGGUCUCUGAUGCACAUUUCCUGAGUUGUUUUACAGCUGCUAAAUCCACCACCAAAUGGAAGAAAUUAACUACUUGCUGAUUCUGAGCAUGUGGCCCCCAGACCUACUGGCGCCAAAGGACUGAUAAUGUUAACCCCUGUGACACCGCCUUGUUACCUCACCAUCAACCAAUCAGAGAAUCAUGCACAAGCUGAUCACAGACCCUGGGACACCCCUCCCUUGACUUGCCUUUAAAAAUUAAAAAUGCUUUGCUCAAAACCA